rnacentral:rRNA from 1 species
GAUGAACGCUGACAGAAUGCUUAACACAUGCAAGUCAACUGUGGCGGAAGGGUGAGUAACGCGUAAAGAACUUGCCUCACAGUUAGGGACAACAUUUGGAAACGAAUGCUAAUACCUGCUACUGUGAGAGAGCUUUGCGUACCAUUAGCUAGUUGGAACGGUAACGGCUCAACAAGGCGAUGAUGGUUAGCCGGCCUGAGAGGGUGAUCGGCCACAAGGGGAAUGAGACACUGCCCUUAAUCCUACGGGAGGAAGCAGUGGGGAAUAUUGGACAAUGGACAAAAGUCUGAUCCAGCAAUGCGGUGUGCACGAUGAAGUUUUCGGAAUGUAAAGUGCUUUCAGUUGGGAAGCAGUACCAACAGAAGAAGUGACGGCUAAAUACGUGCCAGCAGCCGCGGUAAUUC